GGAGGCAUGGCUCAAUGGUAGAGUGCCUACCUGGCAAGUCAAGGCCUGAGUUCAAACUCUAGUACCUCCA
rnacentral:tRNA from 1 species